rnacentral:lncRNA from 1 species
ACAUCAUUGAGUACAAAUGAUGCACAUGCUGGGAGGUGCAGCAUCAUCACAUGUGCAGUGGUGAGGAAGGGCUCCUAUAGCUCUGGGCUGCAGAGGGGCUGGAGGAGCCCUUCCUGGGAGCUAGGAAGCAGCAGAAAAGUACCUUUUGUCCCUCUCUGCUCCAUAGGGGAAGGAAGUAAGGCCGUACAGUCCCACAUCUGAGUCUGUGGACAAAGCUAUCUCUUGGUUGCAUGUCUUGCACAGGAUUCAACCCUAAGUGCGCAGUCAAGAGCAAGCAAUUGGAUUGGCAAAUGGCAACGACUCUACUCUGCUUUGCUUUGCUUAUGAGGGUCAUUCUUUCUACAGCUCUACUUACUCCAAGGAUAGUAAUGUGGGCCAUGCUGGCAUAAGCUGUUUGCCAUGGAGGGCUUUGGCGCAAGGAGGAGAAGAUGUGAACCAAAAGGCUCUGCCCUGAAUAAAGUCAGAUGCUUUGGCACUACUCAUAUUUCUGUCUGGAUGCUUUCAAGAAUCCAGUAUUUUCAUUUUAGAACAUCUGAAGGAACCCCCAGAGCCUUGGCAGCAACACUUUCCCAGAACUCCUGUUUGAAGCAUGAACGUGGUGGAAGGCACAAAAGUGAAAUGCAACCUUCCUGUGUAGUUCUGCUCCACACCACCUUCACUUCCAGCAAUCAGCUCCUGGGAGGGAGGAAUCUACAAUACCCCAGUGACUGUCCUCCUGACUGGCUGUCCUGCAGGGACUUACCAUGGUCAGAAUAGCUGAGAUAUUUUCUGCCUUGAGAUUUUUGAUGAUGGAUUUUCAGAGUGAAAGGACAAGAGCUGACUCCAUGUUAAUGCCAAACUUUAAAUGUUUUGACUAUACAACUGAAACACCAUUACCUAUUCCCCACGGAGCUCCACUCUUUCUCUCUCUCUCCUCCACUUCUCCUCUCCACACUGUAGCCUUUUGUAUGUCUCAGGCAUUAAUCCCUCGCUGCCGGGGUGUGUAAAUUAAAGAAUAAUAGAGCUGCAGAGGCAUAAGCUCGCAAUGAUGGGGAAUGUGUUUGUCUGCUAAGAAGCAAUUUCAGCGAAAAUUAACUCAAUUUCAUCUGAAAUAGUGAAGACCGGCAUAAGCUGGCAGAUCCCCGAGGAUGGUAAAAUUACUUCGUCAAAGCUCUGCUUGCUUAAAUUAACCAAGCAAGCACUCCAGGUUAUUGGCAAGAUGCAGCUAGUAACUAGGUUUUAAUAAACAAAAAUAGCUUUUUGGAUAAAUAAGGAAA